UGGACAUCAUUAUUUUUACCAUCCCAGCCUCAUCUUAAUGAGAGAGGGUGGAGGCAUUACCUUGACCAUCAAAUGGAAAGCCGUAAUUUUACCUUACGAAAGAGACGACGGAUUUGUUUUCUUGGGUUGAAGAGGUAACCAAAGGUAAUAUAAUGGCGAAGCUGUGGGACAACCCUGUUUUAGGUUAGGUUUCCGUUUGGACAUCGAUGGGAGCUACAACGUUAACAAAGCGACAAAGCUCAUGCCAAUUUUCGGUGGGGAUUUCAGUAUCAUCCUUGUUCAUGGCUGUUCUCGAAUCCACCGAUGCUAACUUCUCGUCUUCACGAAUGGUUGUCGAAGCAUGGGAUAGGCGACUUCUUUCUUCAUCAUUGACAAUUCCAUCGUAAUGGAGGCCCAGAAAAAAGAAAAAUCAGUUGGAAAAAUUAGGCACUGAAACUUGAUGGACAUGUCAUUUGGGUGUUUCCAGCAAAUAAUAAUUCAUCAGCUUAGAUGUUCAUGUUGACUGCAGAGCAUCUAAUUUCGUGUUUUACCCCCCUUUUGAGGGCAUUUCAGGACCACCAUUUGUGAGCUUUUCAUUGAAGAGUCUAAAUCAGGGCAAAGGUGAUUGAAGGCCUGCCGUGGGUGAUGGUGGUGGAUCAGGCCACCACCGUAAGGCCUGCAGUGGUGGAGCAGACCAGAACCCUUUGCCCCAUUGUCUCUUUCUUUCAGUGAAAUUAACCAACACUUGGUACGUUCCAUGAGUUAUAAAUGGCAUUCAAUAGCCUAUCAACGCGGAGGGAUUCCUUGCUUUUACUGCUAUUUUAGCUUUGAGAUAAACAUCAUUUCACUUUCCGUAAUUUCAUUGGAAUCAUGAAAGAUUAUGCCACUGACACAAUUUGUGUUCUUAAGAGGGCCCUGCCUACUUCCUUGGACCAUUUUUUGAUAAGAAAACCCAACUUUCCUCCCC